rnacentral:lncRNA from 1 species
UAUCAAUUUUCACAAAUUUAUAUUUAUCGUGUCUUGUUCGCAUAGCAGACGAUACGAAGGCCUUCUCGUAGCGGGGUCCGGAGAGACACUGUCAUAGGCCACAUUUCAGAGUGUGGGGCCAAGGACUGUGGCGACUCGCAGUUGCAUUCCACCACAGCUGCGGCGCGACAGUCGCACUAGUUCCGUUUUCGAACACAAGAUUUAGAAGAAUUCGAAGUUUGGAAAAACACAGCACUGAUCAGGCUAGUUUUACACACACAUAUACUUUCUUUUCGUCUUAUGGAAUUACAUAUUAUAUUAUUUAUUGUUAGAAGAGAAACAUGGCUAUUUGGACAAUAAUCCGGUUAGUUUUCUUUCAUAUUUUAACGAGGAAACGUCUCAGCUUUCUUCUGUUAUACAGAGACAGAGAGAGUUGAUGGAAGAAAAAGGUCAAAGUCAAAUCGGUUAUGUUUAUAUCUCUCGGCAAAUUGUAAGAAAUUCUUCUUUUAUGAAGUAAACAUAGAAAAAUAUUCUCGAACGACUGGCUAAGAUGAUUCGAGAGGAGGGGAUUGAGAGAUUACUCAUAUAUACUACACAUUAUUUUGAUUUUGAACGACCUAGAGACAAGACGUAACAUAUUUGCUUUCCGUGUUAAUGCAGUCAUUGUCUAUGGUGUGAGUGUCUUGAAAUAAGAAAGACGUUCAUCUUCAUCCCAUUGAAAUUGUAUCAAUAGUAAUAUAUGUAACUAUAUACGUACGUGCAAAUAUAUUUUUUUUUUCUUUAA